rnacentral:rRNA from 1 species
UACGGAGGGUGCAAGCGUUAAUCGGAAUUACUGGGCGUAGAGCGCACGCAGGUGGCUGAGUCAGUCGAUUGUGAAAGCCCUGGGCUUAACCUGGGAAUUGCAGUCGAUACUACUCAGCUAGAGUAUGGGAGAGGGCAGUGGAAUUCCCGGUGUAGCGGUGAAAUGCGUAGAUAUCGGGAGGAACAUCAGUGGCGAAGGCGGCUGCCUGGCCCAAUACUGACACUCAGGUGCGACAGCGUGGGGAGCAAACAGGA